rnacentral:rRNA from 1 species
GUCUACGGCCAUACCACACUGAACGUGCCCGAUCUCAUCUGAUCUCGGAAGCUAAGCAGGGUCUGGCCUGGUUAGUACUUGGAUGGGAGUGAUCACCAAGAUCAAUAUCUA